AUGGCCGACAGCGACGCCGAGAGCCGCUGGCCGCCCGGGGCCGCCGCCGACGUGAGGAGGGGGGUCUACGACCGCCUGCGUGCCGCCGGCAACCAGGAGGCGCUCUCCGACCCCUUCUUCGACCGCGUGCUCGAGGACCACUACGAGCGCCUCCCGGCCAGCUACUACAUCGACCUGGACGUGAACAAGGCGGAGGACGUGCUGCUGCACCGCCGGAUCCUCGCCGAGUGCGCCGACCCCGACAACCGCCCCGUCUUCCACGCACGAUUCCUACGGUACCUUCGGAAGGACAAACCGCCAGAGGUUGGAUCUGCUCCAAAUGAAAACGCUAAUUGUGGGUGCUCUCUGGCUCCCAAUUUGAGGAGGGAUACACAAAUUCGCCUUCAUGAAAUUCACCUUCUUCAUGAAAUUAUUUUUUCUUCCGUUGACAAGCCAAAGUUCCUUAGUCAGCUAUCUACGCUGUUGUCCGAUCUUGGAUUGAACAUUCGUGACGCUCAUGUGUUCUUCACAACAGAUGGAUUGUGUUUGGCCAUAUUUCUUGUUGAUGGCUGGGAAACAGAGGAGACAGAUGGUUUGCUGCAGCAGCUCAAGGAGACAGCGAAACGUAAUCCCUCGUUAUCCAAUCUAACAAGUUCAGCCUCGGAGAGAAUAUCAGAGCUGCAAGAAAAGAUUGGAGAAUCUGAAUUUGACAGGGAUCUGUUGCAGAUUGAAGAAAAGAUUGCGUCCGGAUCUUCUGGAGACUUAUAUCGAGGAACUUACCUUGAUGUGGAUGUUGCAAUAAAGUACCUUAGAGCUGAACAUGUUAACGAUAAUUCAAAAGUGGAGUUUUUGCAAGAAAUAAUGAUUUUAAGGAGCGUUAAUCAUGAAAAUGUUGUUCGCUUUUAUGGGGCAUGCACAAAGCAGCGAAAGUAUCUCAUUGUAACAGAGUACAUGGCUGGAGGUAAUCUGUAUGACUUCCUUCACAAGCAUAACAAUGCCUUGGAGCUUUCCUUGAUUCUUAGGAUUGCUAUUGGCAUAUCAAAAGGCAUGGAUUAUUUGCACCAGAAUAACAUCAUCCAUAGAGACUUAAAGUCUGCCAAUUUACUAAUUGGCAAUGGUCAAAUCGUGAAGAUUGCAGAUUUUGGUGUCUCUCGUCAACGAUCGCAAGAGGGUGAUAUGACUGCUGAAACUGGCACCUACAGAUGGAUGGCACCUGAGGUGAUAAACCAUAAGCCUUAUGAUCACAAGGCAGAUGUCUUCAGCUUUGCUAUUGUUCUAUGGGAGUUGGUCACUUCAAAGGUCCCAUAUGAAAACCUGACACCAUUGCAAGCGGCACUGUCAGUAAGGCAGGGACUUCGUUUGGUGAUUCCCUCAGGUGUGCAUCCGAGAUUGUCUAAAUUGAUUCAACGGUGUUGGGGCGAAAACCCCCAUACGCGACCCGUUUUCUCUGAGAUCACCGCGGAACUGGAAGAUAUCUUGCGGCCUAUUCAGAUCUCAAAAAAGAAAAAAAGAGGAAAAUAUAUUGCUGGUAUGCUCCUAUUCCAGUGCUUUCUAGAUGGCAGGGAGGAGCACAGAAGAGCAUGGUGUGUUGUGUCAGUUUGUUCAUUGUCCUUUAGCAUCCUUUCCCCUUUCUAG
rnacentral:rRNA from 1 species